rnacentral:misc_RNA from 1 species
UUUGAUGGUCGCACAUGUUGUGCUUGGCUGCGCGGCGUACUUCUCCUUCCCAUCACCACUCAGGCACAUGCACACACACGCACGUACACUUGUCAGGCACACGGUGUUGCGUUCUCGGCCCCUUCUCCGGCAUUACCUGUUCUGCGUAUGUGGAUGAAAUACUGAGCGAGUCUACUUCGUUCAAAGGAACAGCCGUGCAUACGCGCAGACGGGCCUCUACCGCUAGUGUUUAACUCAAGCUCUUUUUUUUUUCGGUUCAUUCCUCUACACCCAGUCUCCUGUUCAUUUGCCGACGUAAUCCUUCUCGUCCAGUCAAGGCCGAUGCAGCACGCGCAGGUGGAGAACGUCACCCAGUGAAGCGACAUCGCGGCCUACAGAAAGGGCGCAGGAGCGAUGAACCCUACCGUGCCACGUGGCGCUGAGUGGGGGCUGGUGCACUGCGACUUUUACCACCACGCACGCGCCAACACAUCAAGACUAUUGGUGUCUCAUCGCACCACGGACACUGUCGGGCAGAUGUUGAUGUCGUUGAUGAAGGGCGGCCUGCUAACAUCGGCGCCCUCCAAGAAGCCGCACGUCAAUGGAGGCACGGCCUAUACAGCGCCCUCUGUGACCGCCGAAGAGGCAUCACGAGGCACGGAGAGGCCUCACCAAGCUGCUCCAGUGGCGGACUACAGUUGUGUGGAUAUGGAAGGGACGCGGAAAGAUGACUCCAAGUUUGUACCGUCGGUACCGCGGUCAGCACAAGCCCAGGAGGCAUCUGUGCCAACACCACCCUCACCACUAGCAUCGGCGAGUCAGGCAGAGACGAGUGCUGCCAAAGAUGCAGAGAGCUUCCUCUCACGCAACGCGCCGCCGCCGUCCUCGUCGGCUCUCUCAGUCGUCGACAAGCACUCAUCAGCUCCAACGGCGCGCCCUUCUCCGCCAGCGCAAGUGCCGCAGAACGAGCCAUCUGUGCCGGUGAGUCCUCUACAGACAGCAACCGCGUCGGCCAGGCACUGGCAAUGGACACCGCAGCGGGACACCGUCGACAGUGCCUUUGUGCGCCGCCAGCUUGCCCUGCUGGCGCACCGACGGGUGCUAGCGCUUCUGGACCCUCAUGCCCUCGCCUGCGGCAGCUACAUCUCCAUGUUCUCCUCUGGCGCCGAGUACAGCCGUCUCACUCAAUGCUUCCGUGCAGUGGAAGUGGCGAAGAAAGACGUGGUGAGCUCGUGGGUGUCGCUGGCGCACUGCGCGGCGCUGUGCAUUCUCCUGCCGCGCAUCAUGGAUGAGAAGGUACAACUGGCGAUGGCUUCCAAGGGCAAUGCUGCGCCCCGCGACGUCCCUACCGAAGCGGGCAGCCGGGGCCACAUCGGACCCCGUUUCCAUAAUCGGAAGGAGUCCAGUGGGCCUACCGAACCGGAUGUGCCUGCGCGUGUGAGUGAGGCCAUGCGUGGUGUCUACGUGCAUCGCGUCGCUGACGAUGCUUUUGAGCUUGGCGUGGUCAUGCACGGCGGCCAUCAAGACUCACGACUGCUCUGCCUCCUUCAGUGCUUGUCGCACUGGUGCCAAGUUGUGAUUGAGCAUCGCAGUGUUGUCCUGCCCAUCUGUGCCUGCCUGCGCUCUGUCUCGCUGCGCCUGUGGUGGAUGCCGCAGGACGGCCGCGUGACGCCAGGCUCCCUCCUUCCGCCGCUCAAGGCCUUCGUGGAGGAAGGCCGGCGCAGCUUCUUCGCAGCUAUACGCAGCAGCGUCGCUGAGUGUGACGGCAUUCCUGGCGGGGUGUGCCAAGUGCAGUCGUCCACGCGGCUAGAGGAAGAUGCCUUUGAACUGUUCCCCUCUUACGACGACGUCGUGCUCUUCCUCGUACGUCCUGUGGCCUCACAGCUACGCGGUACUAAUGUGCUGCGACUCCCGCACGCCUUUGGCGAGCACGUCAUCGACCAACAGUGGGGUGCCACCGACGAGGCGGCGGAGUACCGGGUGGCGGUCCCAGAUGAGGCCUCAGAGGCACGGAAUGGCAAUGGGUGUGCCCAUCCGCUUUUCCCUCGCGCGUCAGGGGUACAAGAAUUGGUGCGGCUCUCCAACGGAGCGGUACAGGCCACAUUGGUGUUUGCUGACGUCAGGGUGACCACGGUUGGGGAGCACCUCCUCGCAGUGGAGAUGCGGCCGAAGGCCGCGUAUCGCCCCUUUGUGCCAACGCUGUGUGCCAAGGUGGCCCCGUUCCUUGUCGUUGGCCCAGAGGAGGCGUAAGAAGGGCAGGCAGCAGCGCGUAGGGCCUUUUUUCUGCGUCCCCCGCCUCCCCUCUCGCAGAAAUAGAGAGAGGUGAGGUGCGUGUGUGUAUGUCUCUGUGCGUAAGCAGCAGACGUCCGCAGCGGUGGUGGCUCACCCACACGCUCGCGGAGUGCUCUUAUCCGUCUCUUUCUCUGGUUGUUGCGCACCCUCAGCCUCUUGUUGCCAGACACACGGCGUUAUGCAUUUUUCGCGUUGCGACGCGCGAGCCCAGCACGGCUGCUACGCGUUGUCUUGAAUCCUUUUUUUUUGCUGUUUGGCCGUUCGUUAUUCUGCUGCUGCGCUCUUCUUUCUGCUGCGAUGGGAUGAGCGUUUUCUUUCCCUUCUCCUCCUUUUUUGUCCGUCUCGCCCUCGGCCGUUUCAGGCCUUCUGCUCUGGGGCACCGCGCCCACUCAACG